CUCUCUCUUGACAGGCGCCACUGCAGGCCAGCCAGUGGACCCCCCUGAGGCUGGACAGAAAGGUGCUGAGAAGCCUCAAGAAGCCACCGACAAGGCUGCCAACCAGGGCUCCGACGGGGUGAUGGGGAAGAAGUUCAGCCACCAGAAGUGAGGCGCCCUCCUGGCCGGGUGGACCCUGGCCCGAUGUCCCCAAGCAGCGCCCCCCUGGCUGCCCUUCUCCAAUAAAGCACAGCAUCUCCA